rnacentral:lncRNA from 1 species
ACAAAUCUGUGUUUCACAUGGGAUGGCUUAUGGACUAGGGUAGGGUGGACACCUCACUUCCCAAAUUUGUGAAGGGUUGCCUCCAGUACCAGGUUCAUGAACAAUUUAAAAAUACAUGAAAAUCAAACUCAUUGUCUGUCUACUGAAGGAAUGGAACCAUGCACCAUAUCUCACUAGAAAUAAUACUGUGCUGCUGUUCUGCUGUCUUGGAUUAAACAUAUAGGAACAUGAGAAGCCAAAGAGGCUACUAUAAUAAGGACUGAGGACAGCAACAGGUGGCCGUACUUAUCAAGUAAACCGCAUAGAAUCUGGACUCCACUCAGUUGUCCAAAAGCGGGGUCAGGUUUUGCCUUGAUCCUGAAAAUUUAUUGCACAUUCCUGGGAGCUGUGCAUUUCUGCAGUUGAUCCCGGCGCAUGUGCUUAGCAGUAGAAUAAGCCUGCUUGGUUUUAUUUUUUAUUUUUUAAAAAAUUAGAAAGUUCCUGGCCUGUUAAGAAUUUUCUGGGGCUAGGAUAAUAAUCCAUGAGAGAAUCCAAAGGAAAUAUGUAAAUCAAUACAGAAGCCGGCCUGCCUCCCCUCAUAAAUAGCUUGAACUGAAUGCUGCCCAUCAGCCUAACCCCAUUUUAAAUAGGCAGCUGGUGAUGUCAUGGCUUAUGUUGCCAAUGCCCUGGUUGCUUGCCUCCCUCCUCCCUCUGACUACUUUAGUCCCACCAGAGGAACUGGGAAUCCAGACUGCCCUGGGAGAUGAGGAGAAGCUGAGGAAAGCCCCGGGUACCACGGGUUCGUGCUGUGCUCCAUCCUUCCUCUCCAGGAGAGGACAAGGUUAAUCACAAGGACAACCCGAAAUAAGAACUCUCUCUUCACGCUUGUCCGGUGAGCGCAGCCUUUGCUCUUCCCUUGUUGGUCCCAAGCCCAGCCAUGGAGAGAUCCACACAAGAGCUGUUCCUCAACUUCAUGGUUGUACUGAUCACAGUACUCCUCAUGUGGAUUCUGGUGAAAUCCUACCUAGAAUGAAAUGACUGUGCCACACUCUUUGGAGUCGGUGAAAGAUCCAAGAUCAGAGGAGGAUGUCCUUUCUGCUACACAAAAAUGCUUCCCUGUGCACUCUCUGUCUUUGUGUGUAAAAGAAAGUUAUGCAGGCUUUUUUAAAAAAAAACUUUAAAAUACUUCUUGCCUAUAGGCAGCUAAACACUGAAAUGGAUCUGGGAUGAUGUAAAUUAUUUAAUUUAUUAUACUGAGCAUGUCAUAUCUUUUUCCCCCUGCUCAUCCUUUGUAAUUCAUACGUGUUCUUGACCUGAAGGCAUAACGGUGACAAGUGUCAACAUUCAUUUGUCUUUCUUACCUGUUUGUUCCUUGUGCAUUCUUGUGUGGCUUUCAUGGUUUCAGCAUUGUGUACUGGGAUCUACUUAGCUGAAGUAUGGAAACUCUUCUCACAUCCACUGUCGUAAUUGGAAUAAAGAGCUAAAUAUGAUGCA